rnacentral:rRNA from 1 species
AGGUCUCGCCUGCCCAGUGAUCUUAUUUUAACGGCCGCGGUAUACUAACCGUGCAAAGGUAGCGUAAUCAUUUGUCUCCCAAAUAGAGACUUGUAUGAACGGCUAACUGAGGGCCUAACUGUCUCCUAGAGCUAAUCAAUGAAACUGAUCUUCCAGUACAAAAGCUGAAAUAAACACAUAAGACGAGAAGACCCUGUGGAGCUUAAAAUAAACACUAUAAACACCCUCCCCCACCCAAGGGCUUCACCCCACUACAAACCAUAGUGAAAAUUUUUAGUUGGGGCGACUUUGGAAUAAAACAAAACUUCCAUGCCAGGGAUCUCAUCCCUAUCAAGGCCGACAUGCCAAAAUAUAAUUUUUUGACCCAGCAUAACUGAUCAACGAACCAAGUUACCCCAGGGAUAACAGCGCCAUCCUCUUUAAGAGUCCCUAUCGACAAGAGGGUUUACGACCUCGAUGUUGGAUCAGGACACCCCGGUGGUGCAACCGCUACCAAAGGUUCGUUUGUUCAACGAUUAACAGUCCUACGUGAUCUGAGUCA